GUGGGGAAUAUUGCACAAUGGGGGAAACCCUGAUGCAGCGACGCCGCGUGGAGGAAGAAGGUCUUCGGAUUGUAAACUCCUGUUGUUGAGGAAGAUAAUGACGGUACUCAACAAGGAAGUGACGGCUAACUACGUGCCAGCAGCCGCGGUAAAACGUAGGUCACAAGCGUUGUCCGGAAUUACUGGGUGUAAAGGGAGCGCAGGCGGGAAGACAAGUUGGAAGUGAAAUCCAUGGGCUCAACCCAUGAACUGCUUUCAAAACUGUUUUUCUUGAGUAGUGCAGAGGUAGGCGGAAUUCCCGGUGUAGCGGUGGAAUGCGUAGAUAUCGGGAGGAACACCAGUGGCGAAGGCGGCCUACUGGGCACCAACUGACGCUGAGGCUCGAAAGUGUGGGUAGCAAACAGGAUUAGAAACCCUUGUAGUCC
rnacentral:rRNA from 1 species